GACAGAGGGUGCAAACGUUGUUCGGAAUUACUGGGCGUAAAGCGCGUGUAGGCGGCUAAGUAAGUCGGGCGUGAAAUCCCACGGCUCAACCGUGGAAGUGCACUCGAAACUGCAUAGCUAGAGUCCUGGAGAGGAAGGUGGAAUGCUUGGUGUAGAGGUGAAAUUCGUAGAUAUCAAGCAGAACACCUGCGGCGAAGGCGGCCUUCUGGACGAUGACUGACGCUGAGACGCGAAAGCGUGGGGAGCAAACAGG
rnacentral:rRNA from 1 species